rnacentral:misc_RNA from 1 species
CGUUUCUCGAUCUAAAACAGUCUGCAGUGCGACAUUAUCCACGGCUGAUUUUUUUCACGUUACACCUAAACCAACCUUAGUUUUCAGCACCGCAUUGCUUGUGGUAACUCGUCGUUUAGGCAAGGACUCGCUUCUUUACCACAAUUUCCAAAAAGCUUUCCUUAGUCCGAGACGAAAAUCGAUCGCAGCGUUCAUUAAAGUGCUGUAGGUAGUUUUCUCGAGGUUAUUCUAUCUAACUUUGUUGAAUCAAACAGCAACAAGAGCAACGUUCGUUGUUUCGGCAAACCUGAUGGGUUUUUCCUGUCUGGGUGUGUCUUCAUCAGCACCAUGGCUUCUGAAAUGGAUGAGCACAAGGCGUCAUUAAGAGAAAAUGUUCUCUUCUAUGUCACGGCCUUUUUCUGUUUAGUAGCCAUCUUCAGCCUUUUCAUUUUUCUCUUUUUGGUGCCGUUUUUCAUCGAACCGGCCCUUGCCACCAUUUAUAUGGAGUUUGAUCCCGAGCCAGUUAUUUGCGAAACGACCGAAGCAAGCUUCCAUCGGGGACUGUCAAACUGCCAGUGGAGCUCGUGUCGAGAAGGUUGCACAAAGGAAGUGUACGAAUGUUGGCACAUUCGAGUACGUUAUCGCAGCCCUGUGCCAGUUGGGGACGCCGAUGCUCGUUCCGUUCGUGACCGUAUCGUCCAGCACAAGUCAUCCAUGGCAUAUUCGCCGCUGAACGAGCAGAUAAGUGUAAAGAACAGUAUCUACGGUAACCAGAAGGGACAAAGCUAUCCAGUGUCACCCAAUAGCGGAUUUGGGAUGGCUGUGUCAUCCGUAAACAGUUACGAUGAUCGGAUUCAAUCAGUUCUACCGGAGGAAGAUGAUGCUGAAAAGGAGGGCGAGUAUGCUUUGGCGGACGAAGGAGGUGAAGGGUUACACGUUCACGAGGCUCGGCUCCAGCCAAACGUAAAGGGCUGUGGAUAUCCUCCCGAUGUAGAAUGUAACAAUACUUUUGCUUCUACGUAUGGCAUCUUAGGCGCAAAUUUUUCUUGUUACUACUCGCUGAUUGAUCCCACGCUGGCCAUAACGCAGCUCAAUAUUGCUAAAGUUCGCGCCGAACUCAUUUAUUGCCUUACCAUUCCAAUUAUCCUUUUCGUCAUUUCUGUCGUUUAUCUCUUCUACGCCUAUUUUAAACUUUACGCUGAACCCACUGCCGAUGGAGCAGCAGCCACACCAAGGGGUCCAUCGCUGGAUUUCGAUACAGUGGAAGGCAAAGUGGAAGGAGUGGUAGUUAGACAGCCGAUGAGCUCUCCUGUUAAUACCGGAGGCAAGUAUGGGCUUCUUUAUCAGUUCCCAUCGCCGGAUAGCACUCGGAUCAUCCGGCGAGCUAAAAGUGGUGGAGCUAUUACAUUCGCCGCAGCAGGCCAACCCACAGAGAAAGCGUCAAAAGAAACGGCAGUAGUUUUUUCAGGAAUGAAAAACUCGUCAGGCGAAUCGGCAGCUCACAGCAAAGGAAUGAGAAUAUCCAAAUCAAUGGGGCCGCGACUUGGUGAGGGCUCUAUUGCUGCCGCCCAGAGAAACCCUGGUAGUUUCACGCACAUUUCCUCGACGAUGUCUUCGGCACCUUGCUCUUCGUCUUCGUCGUCUACUACGUCCUUGUCCUCCCAAUCUGAUUUUUCCUCACCGUCUCACCUGCCGGCCUCUUUGUACAGCGAAUCAUCUGGUUGCAACACAAUUGCUGAUCUCAGCGUUACUUCAACGGCCACUGAAAUAUUUCCAAACGACAAUGAGCUUGAAUAUUAUUCACCGAAUCCAAAUCCCACAAACCAAUACACUAAGAAUCAUUCAACGUUAUCGGGAAAUUCAGGACGUCAACGCCGUAGGCUUCGCGAGUGCAUCCCCCUCAUCUCUAAUAACCACUGACGAACAAAACAUGUUUCACGAUGAAUGCCUUGAAUGUGGUGAUUUUUUUAGCAGUGGGCAUCUUCGAACAAAUUCUUCAAGUGAUCACAUUCUAUCUGACACCAUACUGAUUAGGAAGAAAGGUCUCCAUCUUGUUCGCGUCGUCCUUUUUCAAUGACUCGAGAAGGCUAGUUUCAUCUGCGUUAUUGAGCCCCAACAACGCUGUCUGCCCGAAAACAAGUACCGUCUUCACAGAGCGUUCCAAGGAAUGGCAUACGUCAUCACUUGGAAUCCGCACCAACGUCUCCCAACAAC